AAAAUAAUCACUUCAACGAAUACUCACAAUUUCCACUAUUAACACAAAGCCAGCGCCAUUUGCACAGAUCCAUCUCACUCUCUGCUUUCUUUCCUCACUCUCACAAUUGAUUUGAGGUUCUGAAGACAUUAUAAAAGAAGUGAUGUAUACUAAGUUUGCUCCCAUACUACCUGUUACAAUUUAAAGACAAGGUUAACCGUAAUUUUUUUUUUCUAUCUCAAACAUGAGUUUUGUUUUUCGGGGGACUAGAGGAGAUAUUGAAAGUGGAUUUCCGGGAUUUAUACCUGAACGCCCUGCAGUGCGUAUUCAUGCAGCUCGACCAGUUAAUAUAAACUCACUUGCUUUUCUUGUCACAGG